AAUGUGGGCCUGAUGUUUGUUGCUGAAACCCAUUAAGGGAGACCUCCAACCAGAUUAGGGUUAAGUCGUGCGCCGUCGACGUACCGGAGGCGCAACUGACGGUCCAAGAGGAGAACCUCCUGCCAUCAACGAAGUUCGGUGAGAAUAAUCUUCUGGGGAAGCCAAUGCAUGUCCAGAUUUAGAGGAGUUAAGCGGAGCGAUGAAGCUAAGUUCAGAUCUAAGUGAAGUGCCGCUAGAUUUAUAUAGUUUUUUAAAAUUCUUCUUCUUCGACGUAGAUAAUGAGCCCAGAGGGUAGAAGAUGGUCGCCGGAGUCCACUUUCGUCCUCUGUUGCUAGCUUAUGAGAGAAGGUUGAAGCUUGUCGAACAAAGAGAUUGGGAUAAAAGAGUUUGUGAUGAUUGAGAAAGUAACCGAAACAAACGUAAAACAGAGAGAUUUAAGGAUCGAAAAUUAAAGGAAGAGGAGGAGAUGUCUC